rnacentral:lncRNA from 1 species
AUCAAAUCUUUAUUGCUGCAGAGCCAUAAUGGAUCUGAUAACACAAUACAAGAAAUAUCUUUUUGGUAUUUAUGAAUAUCUUCGGCAGUUUUUUAAUCUUAGCUCUUUGUCAUAAUAGGUUUUGAUAAUUAAGAUGAUUGAAAAAAAUAAAUUGGCAUAUCUCUGUGAUAUGUUUUUUUUUUCGGAAUAAACCUUCACCUUAAGGACUGCCGCUCUUCCUGUUGAAAGAAGCUUAUAAUCUAUUGGUGAACAAUGUAACUCUAGGUGGAGAAAACUUCUAGGCAUCUUUUGCCAUUAUGAAACACUCACUUAACUUAAAGUGCAAAUAUUGUUUGAAAGGAAAAAAGAGAUUUUGACUUAAAAGUUGAAUUUGGUUAGCAAGAUGUUGGAGAACUGUUUCCAUUUGAGAAAAAGAUGUGGGAAAGCUACAACGAAGGGUGAAAAAAUAACUUUGAAGGGGAAUUUUGUGUUCUAGACCUAUUGGAGUUGUUUCUACAACACCUUCCAAGUUUUGACUACUAUUUACCCCUAGCCACUAGGAUGAAGGCCAAAAAGAGAACUCCAAAAUGUCUUUCAAAAUUGACGGUUAUAAUUUUUGUUUCUUUAGUUUAUUUGUGCUUUUGAAAUAAUCAUUUCCUUUUAUGGAAAAGCAUGUAAUUUACAUUAUCUUUUAUUUCCUGAUUUUUCCACAUCCAAGGGAAUUUCCAAGGACAUUUUUGGUUUUCAUUAGCUUAAUAUUGCAAUUAAGGAGACAUUCAUUUUAACUUGUUAAGUAGCUUAAGUAUCUCUCUUGCUUUGUUUUGGUAUCAUACAUUAACUUAGUGGAGUUCAAUAGCUAGCUCAUAUGAAAUUUAUCAGUCUUCCAAAAAGUUUAUAUACUUAUAUGACUUAUUGCUGACCUAGAAAAGUUUGAAUAAUUGUGUUUGUGCAAGCUCUUUGAGGAAAUAUUAAGCUCUAUGAUUUAUUCAAAAACAACUUCUAACGGCAAUCCAUUAAAAAUCCUGUUUCUAGCAAUAGAGAAAUUCUUGAAAGGAAAACAUUGCAUAGUACAAUCUACCAUUCUGGUCUUUCAUCCAGCACUGAAAAUCAUCAUUGGUUGAUGAACCUUCUUACUUGGUAUGAAUUGAA